UGGAAAGACGAGGAUCAAAAUCGUCCCCUUUAAAUCCCAGCAUAUGAACCGGACACAGGACUGCCACAGAACAUCUUCCUCGAUUGCCAUGGAGACCAAGAUGAAGAUGAUCUGCUUCCCUCUCUGCCUGCUGCUGCUCACCGCUUGUUGCUUUGAUGCAUCGCGUGAGCCGCCUUUACUUUAGUUGACCUGCACGGUCAUCUCAGUUUAUUUUCAUUUCCAUAAAACACAAGAUAAGAUCCAAAACCAUUAUGUACAUUAAAGCAUUCUGUUUAGAAUAACCCAGUCACUGGCAAGUUUGAGUCUCACUUUUAGUUUGGGUACCUGGAAUUAGGCAACAUGGUACAUUUCUUGUAUUUUUGAAGCAUCUUAAGAGUUUGAAAUUCACCCGGUCAUUCUCACAAGCAGUGCAGCAUGACUUUGAGGAAUCUACGAUCUGCUGUUUCAAAUUCCACAAUCUUCAACCGCCGUUGGGACGAGUGGUCAAUGUCACGAAGACUCAUGCAUGUCGCAUUCAAGGGUUUAUAAUUGAGACUCCAAAAAAUAUUUCUGUAUCAGGACGAGUCCCGAUUGUAUUCGGUGGGGGAGCCGCCACUAGUGUGUGAAUGGGUCUGUGACUGUAAAGUGCUUUGGGCCUUCAAAUAAAGUAGAAAAGCGCUAUAUAAGUAUACUCCAUUAUAUGACAUUUGGGGUCAGAAUCUCUUCAAUCGCUGCCAAAGCUAGGACAAUAUCCGGGAUGAAGCUUUGCAGCACUGAAGAUCUACAGCAAGACUGUCUCUUCAGGAGUUAUUUUCUUUAGUCACUUCAUGUCAUUUACAUAAAAUGAACAACAUCUUUAAGAAUUUUUUUGUGCUUAUCUGUUGGAACAAACAUUUUAAUGUAAAAACAAUAAAAAUUGGCACAUUUUGAAGGGGUUAACUCCAAGAAGUAUCA